CCUACGGGAGGCAGCAGUGGGGAAUAUUGCACAAUGGGCGAAAGCCUGAUGCAGCGACGCCGCGUGAGGGAUGACGGCCUUCGGGUCGUAAACCUCUUUCAGCAGGGAAGAAGCGAAAGUGACGGUACCUGCAGAAGAAGCGCCGGCUAACUACGUGCCAGCAGCCGCGGUAAUACGUAGGGCGCAAGCGUUGUCCGGAAUUAUUGGGCGUAAAGAGCUCGUAGGCGGCUUGUCACGUCGGAUGUGAAAGCCCGGGGCUUAACCCCGGGUCUGCAUUCGAUACGGGCUAGCUAGAGUGUGGUAGGGGAGAUCGGAAUUCCUGGUGUAGCGGUGAAAUGCGCAGAUAUCAGGAGGAACACCGGUGGCGAAGGCGGAUCUCUGGGCCAUUACUGACGCUGAGGAGCGAAAGCGUGGGGAGCGAACAGGAUUAGAUACCCUGGUAGUCCACGCCGUAAACGUUGGGAACUAGGUGUUGGCGACAUUCCACGUCGUCGGUGCCGCNGCUACGACAUACGUUCCCGUCCCGUCGGGAGGUACGGCCGCGACGGACGUAAACCUACAAGGAAGUUAGACGGCGUGAGACGNGCCGACGGACGACGACGAGGGAGGUAGG
rnacentral:rRNA from 1 species